rnacentral:misc_RNA from 1 species
GGGCGGCAGAAAGUGGAGCUGGGCUGGUGUGCGCGCGGCCGGAGUCUGUGGAGCUGGAAAUUCACCGGUCCAGGAAGACGUCUUUCCCGCGUCCCAGCACCGGUCCAGAAAGACGUCUUUCCCGCGUCCCAGCACCUCGGGCCACGCUCCUUCGUGAGAGCGCCCUCUCCAAGGAGGCCGGCCCUGGAUAUUUCACCCAAAAUAUUUAUUUUUUCUUUUUUUCUAGGCUCCUGUUUUCCUAAUAGCAUGAACAGCCCCCCCGUCAGCUCCUACCCCUUGGUCUCUGACCUGUUCCUCCUCCGAGGUGACCUCUAUCCUGAAUUUUGAAAACAUAUUAGUAUUGCCUGUUUCUGGACUUUGUGCAGAUGAAGUCAUUGGUUACGCUUUCAGCAUUUGCAAACUCAGGAUGGAGAUUUUAGACCCUCUUCAACCUCCAGGUUUCCUCUUUGCAAAGGCCAGCAGCAGAAGCAAAAGAGAUGGAGCCCGGGUUCUCCCUCUGUCACCCAGAGCUGGAGUGCGGUGGCAUAAUCACAGCUAAUUGCAGCCUCAACAUUCCAGGCCCAAGGAUCCUCCCUUCAGCCUUCCAGAGUCGGGGGUCUCCCUAUGUUUCCCAGGCUGGCCUCGAACUCCUGACCUCAAGUGAUCCUCCCACCUCAGCCUCCCCGAGUGCUGGGAUUAAAGACGUGAGCCACGGCACCUGGCCUGAAUUUUCCUCAAAUUCAAAAAAUCCUGAUGAAGGUUUGGCUAAAAUCUUUGGUGAGUUACCCCACUCCCUGUGGAACCUCAGGCUGGAUUUGAAGAGUUGCGUGCAUGGUCCUCAUUGUCUCCCAGGUAACCUGUUCCCGCUGCUGUGAAGGGAAGGCAGGUGCUCUUCCUUGAGGCUAGAAUCUGUCUACGUGUCACAGUCUCAGGAAAUUAAGCAAAACAGAUGAUAAACACCUCAAAAGGACCCUACUGAGCAUCAGUGGAGCAGAGCAGGGCCAUGU